GUGUAGCGGGUAGAGCAGACUCUAUAGAGCAGCGAUAGGAGUUCGAGAGUAGAGCAGAACAUUAGGCAGAGUAGCUGCUGAGAGACAUGAUGUAGCGGUUCACUCCAUAGAAAGCAUCCAGAGGGAUCAAGAACCCUGGUACUGGCAGGUCUAUGAGAGGGUCUCUUGGGGGGACUUUUGAGAGAUCUUUUGUGAGGGUAGCUUCUAGUUUAGAGAGUUGUGUAUGGAGAGUUAAGA
rnacentral:lncRNA from 1 species